rnacentral:rRNA from 1 species
UACGUAGGCAGCAAGCGUUGUUCGGAGUUACUGGGCGUAAAGAGUGCGUAGGCGGUCCUGUAAGUUUGGUGUGAAAUCUCCCGGCUCAACUGGGAGGGUGCGCCGAAGACUGCAGGGCUUGAGUAUGGGAGAGGUAAGCGGAAUUCCUGGUGUAGCGGUGAAAUGCGCAGAUAUCAGGAGGAACACCGGUAGUCGGAAGGCAGGGUCUCUGGGCAGUUAACUGACGCUGGAGGAGCGAAAGCAGUGGGGAGCGAACAGG